AUGGCUGUCGUCAGCUCGUGUCGUGAGAUGUUGGGUUAAGUCCCGCAACGAGCGCAACCCUCGUUCCAUGUUGCCAGCACGUUAUGGUGGGGACUCAUGGGAGACUGCCGGGGUCAACUCGGAGGAAGGUGGGGAUGACGUCAAAUCAUCAUGCCCCUUAUGUCUUGGGCUUCACGCAUGCUACAAUGGCCAGUACAAAGGGCUGCGAGACCGUGAGGUGGAGCGAAUCCCAAAAAGCUGGUCUCAGUUCGGAUCGGGGUCUGCAACUCGACCCCGUGAAGUCGGAGUCGCUAGUAAUCGCAGAUCAGCAACGCUGCGGUGAAUACGUUCCCGGGCCUUGUACACACCGCCCGUCACGUCACGAAAGUCGGUAACACCCGAAGCCGGUGGCCUAACCCGUGAGGGAGGGAACUGUCGAAGGUGGGACUGGCGAUUGGGACGAAGUCGCAACAAGGUAGCCGUACCGGAAGGUGCGGCUGGAUCACCUCCUUUCUAAGGAGCACGUGCAGUCCAGAUGAAGACGCCCUGUUUACAGGCAUCCUCUCGCUGGAACUAACUGCCAAGCCAUUUCGGAGACACAUGUUCUCCGGUGGCGCUCAUGGGUGGAACAUUGACAUUGUGACCAGGUGCGAACCUGGCAUCCCAGUACUUCCGUUGUGUUGUUUACAACACGCAGGAAUGGAAGAGAUGCCGGCGGAGCAGCUGGUCUUUUGCACGCUGUUGGGUCCUGAGGGACCGGACCGGCUCCGCUUGGAGCCGAACGGACCUCUGGACCACUGACAUCCGAUGGAUGUCACGGUCUACGGACCCUUGUGUGACUGGUUUCGGCCAGGCGCAGUGAGUACCGCCCGUAUUUUGAGAACUACACAGUGGACGCGAGCAUCUUAGAUGUCUUGUAAGUUUUGCCGGCUCCAGGCACCGCUCUGCGGUCCUGGGAUGGUGGACUUCGAGAUAUCACAUAAAACAAUGACGGCUUGAUCUUCGGAUCGAGUCACCAUUGGUCUAUCUUCAGGGCUUAGGCCCUGGCGAUCGAUUCAUACUCAUGUGAAAUCAAGUUUCUAAGAGCAGACGGUGGAUGCCUUGGCAUCUGGAGCCGAAGAAGGACGUAUAAAUCUGCGAUAAGCCUCGGGGAGCUGAUAAUAGAGCUUUGAUCCGAGGAUUUCCGAAUGGGGAAACCCGG
rnacentral:sRNA from 1 species